CCAUAACAAUCCUGUGAUUUAUGCUGACCACGGCCGGGACCAUGACCUCAGUAACAGAUGUCCCACCUGCUCAGCUACCAAAUUGCAACAAUCGUCUUAAAAUAGACGAUACUGUUCAGCUGGGCGGAGAGGGACCAACGAGAACCGGGCCCAAUAAUCGCCGAUUAACCAAUAGUCCUAUGCCACCGCGUCUUCAGUGUGUCGACAUGAAAGUUGUUGCUGUUUCCCAGUUCAGUCAGAAACGUGGGCACAUAUUCAGUACUGCAGCACCGAAC